UACGUAGGGUGCAAGCGUUGUCCGGAAUUAUUGGGCGUAAAGAGCUUGUAGGUGGCUCGUCGCGUCGGGAGUGAAAACCCGCGGCUUAACCGCGGGCCUGCUUUCGAUACGGGCGGGCUAGAGUUCGGCAGGGGAGACUGGAAUUCCUGGUGUAGCGGUGGAAUGCGCAGAUAUCAGGAGGAACACCAAUGGCGAAGGCAGCUCGCUGGGACGGUACUGACGCUGAGACGCGAAAGCGUGGGGAGCAAACAGG
rnacentral:rRNA from 1 species